GAUGAACGCUGGCGGCGUGCCUAAUACAUGCAAGUCGAGCGAACAGACGAGGAGCUUGCUCCUCUGACGUUAGCGGCGGACGGGUGAGUAACACGUGGAUAACCUACCUAUAAGACUGGGAUAACUUCGGGAAACCGGAGCUAAUACCGGAUAAUAUAUUGAACCGCAUGGUUCAAUAGUGAAAGACGGUUUUGCUGUCACUUAUAGAUGGAUCCGCGCCGCAUUAGCUAGUUGGUAAGGUAACGGCUUACCAAGGCAACGAUGCGUAGCCGACCUGAGAGGGUGAUCGGCCACACUGGAACUGAGACACGGUCCAGACUCCUACGGGAGGCAGCAGUAGGGAAUCUUCCGCAAUGGGCGAAAGCCUGACGGAGCAACGCCGCGUGAGUGAUGAAGGUCUUCGGAUCGUAAAACUCUGUUAUUAGGGAAGAACAAAUGUGUAAGUAACCAUGCACGUCUUGACGGUACCUAAUCAGAAAGCCACGGCUAACUACG
rnacentral:rRNA from 1 species